rnacentral:rRNA from 1 species
GCAAGUCGAACGGUAACAGGAAGUGCUUGCACUUCGCUGACGAGUGGCGGACGGGUGAGUAAUGCUUGGGAACUUGCCUUUGCGAGGGGGAUAACAGUUGGAAACGACUGCUAAUACCGCAUAAUGUCUACGGACCAAACGGGGCUUAGGCUCCGGCGCAAAGAGAGGCCCAAGUGAGAUUAGCUAGUUGGUAAGGUAAAGGCUUACCAAGGCAACGAUCUCUAGCUGUUCUGAGAGGAAGAUCAGCCACACUGGAACUGAGACACGGUCCAGACUCCUACGGGAGGCAGCAGUGGGGAAUAUUGCACAAUGGGGGAAACCCUGAUGCAGCCAUGCCGCGUGUGUGAAGAAGGCCUUCGGGUUGUAAAGCACUUUCAGUUGUGAGGAAAAGUUAGUAGUUAAUACCUGCUAGCCGUGACGUUAACAACAGAAGAAGCACCGGCUAACUCCGUGCCAGCAGCCGCGGUAAUACGGAGGGUGCGAGCGUUAAUCGGAAUUACUGGGCGUAAAGCGCACGCAGGCGGUUUGUUAAGCUAGAUGUGAAAGCCCCGGGCUCAACCUGGGAUGGUCAUUUAGAACUGGCAGACUAGAGUCUUGGAGAGGGGAGUGGAAUUCCAGGUGUAGCGGUGAAAUGCGUAGAUAUCUGGAUGAACAUCAGUGGCGAAGGCGACUCCCUGGCCAAAGACUGACGCUCAUGUGCGAAAGUGUGGGUAGCGAACAGGAUUAGAUACCCUGGUAGUCCACACCGUAAACGCUGUCUACUAGCUGUUUGUGACUUUAAGUCGUGAG